rnacentral:rRNA from 1 species
GAUGAACGCUAGCUACAGGCUUAACACAUGCAAGUCGAGGGGUAGCAGGGUAGCAAUACCGCUGACGACCGGCGCACGGGUGAGUAACACGUAUCCAACCUUCCCAUAACUCGGGGAUAGCCUUUCGAAAGAAAGAUUAAUACCCGAUAGUACUUAAGAAAGGCAUCUUUUUUAAGUUAAAGAUUUAUUGGUUAUGGAUGGGGAUGCGUUCCAUUAGAUAGUUGGUGAGGUAACGGCUCACCAAGUCUUCGAUGGAUAGGGGUUCUGAGAGGAAGGUCCCCCACAUUGGUACUGAGACACGGACCAAACUCCUACGGGAGGCAGCAGUGAGGAAUAUUGGUCAAUGGGCGAGAGCCUGAACCAGCCAAGUAGCGUGAAGGAUGAAGGUCCUAUGGAUUGUAAACUUCUUUUAUAGUAGAAUAAAGUGACCCACGUGUGGAUUUUUGUAUGUAUACUAUGAAUAAGGAUCGGCUAACUCCGUGCCAGCAGCCGCCGCAGUAA